AUAAGGUUUCGCGUUUAUUAUCGAACGUAACAUAAAAAGUAUUGUUGUGAUACGCGGGGGAUUGUAAUACGUCAUCGUGUUUUCGGAAGCUAAAAUGUUUUUCACGGACAAUUAUUACUGUACAGCGCAUUUUUUUUCCAUUACAAACGUUUAAGGAACUCUGUCACAAAUUUGGUUUGUGCGGUGUAUUCGUUCAUAAUAGUUUUUGAGAUUUAUGU